rnacentral:rRNA from 1 species
UACGUAGGGGGCUAGCGUUGUCCGGAAUCAUUGGGCGUAAAGAGCGCGUAGGCGGCCAGAUAAGUCCGGUGUGAAAGUCAGAGGCUCAACCUUUGAAUGCCGCUGGAAACUGUCUGGCUAGAGUCCGGAAGGGGCGAGUGGAAUUCCUGGUGUAGCGGUGAAAUGCGCAGAUAUCUGGAGGAACACCGGUGGCGAAGGCAGCUCUCUGGGACGGUACUGACGCUGAGACGCGAAAGCGUGGGGAGCGAACAGG